rnacentral:rRNA from 1 species
GAUGAGUUUGAUCGUGGCUCAGGACGAACGCUGGCGGCGUGCCUAAUACAUGCAAGUCGAGCGGAUCGAUGGGAGCUUGCUCCCUGAGAUCAGCGGCGGACGGGUGAGUAACACGUGGGUAACCUGCCUGUAAGACUGGGAUAACUCCGGGAAACCGGGGCUAAUACCGGAUAACACCUACCCCCGCAUGGGGGAAGGUUGAAAGGUGGCUUCGGCUAUCACUUACAGAUGGACCCGCGGCGCAUUAGCUAGUUGGUGAGGUAAUGGCUCACCAAGGCGACGAUGCGUAGCCGACCUGAGAGGGUGAUCGGCCACACUGGGACUGAGACACGGCCCAGACUCCUACGGGAGGCAGCAGUAGGGAAUCUUCCGCAAUGGACGAAAGUCUGACGGAGCAACGCCGCGUGAGUGAAGAAGGUUUUCGGAUCGUAAAACUCUGUUGUUAGGGAAGAACAAGUGCCGUUCGAAUAGGGCGGCGC